rnacentral:rRNA from 1 species
GAUGAACGCUGGCGGCGUGCUUAACACAUGCAAGUCGAACGGAAAGGCCCAAGCUUGCUUGGGUACUCGAGUGGCGAACGGGUGAGUAACACGUGGGUGAUCUGCCCUGCACUUCGGGAUAAGCCUGGGAAACUGGGUCUAAUACCGGAUAGGACGAUGGUUUGGAUGCCAUUGUGGAAAGUUUUUUCGGUGUGGGAUGAGCUCGCGGCCUAUCAGCUUGUUGGUGGGGUAAUGGCCUACCAAGGCGUCGACGGGUAGCCGGCCUGAGAGGGUGUACGGCCACAUUGGGAAUGAGAUACGGCCCAGACUCCUACGGGAGGCAGCAAUGGGGAAUAUUGCACAAUGGGCGCAAGCCUGAUGCAGCGACGCCGCGUGGGGGAUGACGGCCUUCGGGUUGUAAACUCCUUUCGCUAGGGACGAAGCGUUUUUGUGACGGUACCUGGAGAAGAAGCACCGGCUAACUACGUG